rnacentral:rRNA from 1 species
ACUCCUACGGGAGGCAGCAGUGAGGAAUUUUGCGCAAUGGGGGCAACCCUGACGCAGCAACGCCGCGUGAGUGAUGAAGGCCUUCGGGUCGUAAAGCUCUGUCAAGUGGGAAGAACCUGAUUGUGGUGAACAGCCAUGGUCAUUGACGGUACCACUGAAGGAAGCACCGGCUAACUCCGUGCCAGCAGCCGCGGUAAUACGGAGGGUGCAAGCGUUAUUCGGAUUUACUGGGCGUAAAGGGCGCGUAGGCGGUUGGACAAGUCAGGUGUGAAAUCCCGGGGCUUAACUCCGGAAGUGCAUCUGAAACUGUUCGGCUUGAGUAUGGUAGAGGGAAGUGGAAUUCCUGGUGUAGCGGUGAAAUGCGUAGAUAUCAGGAGGAACACCGGUGGCGAAGGCGACUUCCUGGACCAAAACUGACGCUGAGGCGCGAAGGUGUGGGGAGCAAACAGGAUUAGAUACCCUGGUAGUCCACACAGUAAACGGUGAUCACUAGGUGUUGCGGGUGUUGACCCCUGCAGUGCCGCAGUUAACGCAUUAAGUGAUCCGCCU